AGGCGUUUGUAGCCACUUUUAAGUUUUAUCAGCUAGUUCAUGCUUGCGUUGAAAGAGUGGUCGUUUGCGCUGGGUCAUCACUGUGUAGUAUUGGGGAUACUUAGGUGAGAAAAAAACUUAACGCUAGAGACGUUCACGCACUAGUGGAGAAGCCAGGAUUGUUGCCCUAGAGUUACAGUAGAUAAAAGUACCUCAGAGAACUGCGGGGGCUCCCAACCUGGACGCUUGCACCGGAGUAUUAAAUCCAGCUAGAGAAUGGCAUGUGCAAAGAUACAGAGCUACAGUCAAAUGGGCAGCUGAAGAUGAUGAUGAUGAUGAUCUUGACACCGAGAAGCAGAAGACCAAUGAAGAUGACCAGACAGCAAAAAAGGAUAAGUUAAAAGAAGGGUCUCGCUCUGUAUCCCAGGCUGGAGUUCAGUGGCACGAUCUCCGCUCGCUGCAACCUCCGCCUCCUGGGUUCAAGUGAUUCUCCUGCCUCAGCCUCCCAAGUAGCUGGAUUACAGGGCCUUCUUACAGAUGGAUAAAUGCGGCACUGGCUAGCGGUACAGAGAGAUGGAGCCCAGGAGAAAACUGCUGCUCUUUUGUCCUGGCUGGAAAAUCCUCCUAUGGCCUCCUUUAGUACACAUCAGCUGACUCUUCACUUGUCAUAAUAAACCGCCUGUCUGCAGCUCAAAAUGGCAAGAAAAAAGGUGGUUCUGUUCAGAGGACACUGGAUUCCAAAAGGUGGACUUCAUCAUGGGGGGAAUCAAGUCCUGCUACACAAUUAAUACAGAUUAGUAUAGUCCCCUGCCUCGCACCACUGGCGAGAUGCCCUCCAAGACCUGGCUGACAUGAGCUUCCUGGGACUCCCCAUCUCCAGUGUUGUUGGGGUCCUUUUACCUGUACCGUAUUAAUCGAAUAAUCUUAUUGUUCAUAAAAUCCAGAGCAUGUGGGUGAGAAGAAUCGAUGCAGAAGCCAUCGCUCAGAGCGAUUUUCAGUACCUCUUCCACGAAGACCUGGAAGCUGUUGAUCUGCUUGUUGGCGGGCACCACCCAGAGCCUCUUGAGGUUCUGCUUGGUGUACUCCUCCUCUGGCAGGCCCUCCACAUUGGCCACCCAGUCCAGAGUCAGGUGGUUGGGGUCCUGCAAGUGGCUGGUGAUGGAGGAGAGAUUGCCAUUGGAGCAGUAGAAGAGCUUAGAGCCAAGGAGCUUGAGGAAGAGGCAGGAGGUGCUGAAGAUGUUGGCGUUGAAGACCUCCAUGCUGGAAGAGGAGAGGCUGUAGAUCUGGGGUGCCUCGCGCACAGUGAAGUGGACCGUCUGCACACGCUGGUUCAGUGUGAUGUUGAGCAUGGCAUUCUUCUCGGCCUUGGAGAGCUCCACUUCCUUCUCCUGCAGGGCCUCAAUCAGGGGCUGCACCUGGUAGAAGUCGGCCUCCCUGCGGAGCAGCCCCAUCUCCUGGAAGUCCUCAGGCAGGUCAAGGUGGGAGGUCCGCAGGAAGUUGAGGAUAUAGCGGAACACUUUGCCGUCACGGUCAAUGAAGCAGUUGCCCUGGCUGUCCCUCUUGGUGGGCAUCUUCCCGCUGAACAUGGCGCCUAGCAUGGAGUCAGGGAAGCUGGUCAGGGUCGCCAGUGAGGUUGUAUAGAGCUUCCCCCCGACGUUCAGCGUGAUGGGGUCGGACAUGGCAGGAGACUGGGUUGCUGGAAGUAGUCCUGGAGAGGGUGAGAAGUGAGAAAUGACUAUAACCAAACCUUAUCAGAGAACUCACAGUCCUUAACUCCUUAUUGUACAUCAAGCCUAUGCCCUUGGGAUCGAAAUGAAUUAAUACCUGAUGAAUGGGUGAUAAUUGCUAACACUGUGCAAAGUACAUUAGCUUCACUAGGGAGAGGGAAAGGAGAAAGGGAAAAGGAAAGGAAAAAGGAAACAGGGAAAGAAAGGGAAGGACCCCUAAAGCCUGGGUCCCCCGCGCCCCCCUCUGCUGCCGACAUUCUAUUUUAAUUGGUCUGGAAUACUGCCCCAGCCCUGGUAUUUUGAAAGAGUUCCCUUAGUGAUUCUAAAUGUUCAGUUAGAAUAGAGAACCACUGGUCUAAAGAAAGAAAGGAAAACGUGCCUGGACUGAAAGCUAUGCUACGUGUUUAUACAUAUAUUUGCUUACAUAAUAGUUGUAUCAGCCAGGUGCGGUGGCUCACACCUGUAAUCCCAGCACUUAGGGAGGCCGAGGCGGGCAGAUCACCUGAGAUCAGGAGUUCAAGAUCAGACUGGCCAACAUGGUGAAACCCCAUCUCUACUAAAAAUACAAAAAUUAGCUGGGCAUGGUGGUGGGUGCCUGUAAUCCCAGCUGUUCAGGAGGCUGGGGCAGGAGAAUCAUUUGAACUCAGGA
ensembl:lncRNA KCTD21-AS1 KCTD21 antisense RNA 1